rnacentral:lncRNA from 7 species
GGGAGAUUUCCAGACUACUUCUCAAUGCUGUUCAGUAAAUUCUCUGUUACUGCAGCAAGUCUUUUCCAAGCACAUUAUCAGCUUCUGAUGUCCAAUGAUUAUACUGCCAACUGUCUACAAGACAGGAAAUGGGUGAAACAGAAGAAGUGGCAGUGAAAGAAAACCUGAUGCCCCAUCAAAGACAAAUAUGUCAAAUGUAGAAGAAAGUGUGAAGUACUCCUAUAGAAAAGAAUCCGUCAGAAGUAAAUCUACAGCUGGUGAGGGUGUUGAGUAAGGGAAGGAAGGGGAGAAAAAAUGAGAGGAGUUCAUGAAAAAGUAUCCCAAAAUAACUGGAAGAAAAGGACUAAGAUUGCUUUUACUGUGAAGAAGAGGCACAGUCAAAUACUUAACUUGAUUUUUUAAAGAAGAUCACGUCAGUGUUCUUGCUACUUACAAAAAAAAAAAAAAAAGUCCACAAUUAUUAACAACUUACACUGAAGAUAUAUUUCUGCAAAGAUUUCCUUUGCAGAAACUGUGAAUUCAGUCAGAUCACAUCUAAGCUUUCAGCAUGAGUAGUCCCAAUGAAAUGAGCAAGAAGAGUUAUGAAUUAAAAUGAAGAAAUUAAUUAGUUUUUAAG